ensembl:lincRNA uncharacterized LOC102029461
AAAUAACUGGCACCACUGUACAAAAAAUUUGAGCAAAGAUCUAAGUGCAGGCAGGACGUAAAGUGGAACAUGGAAUGCAUAUUUCUCUUUUGUCCAGGUGCAUUUUCUGAAGCUGGAUAAACAGCUUUGCUUCUCAUGGUCUCUGCAGACUUGGGAGGCAGAAGAAGAAAAAAUGAUAUAUCUCAAGUAGGGAUAACUGAUACUGUCAGAGGAGAUACUGUAUGUCCACUUUAAACUGCAGUUUUAGAGCACUUCAUUUGGUGGAACUAACAAAGGCAAAGCAAACAGCGAUUAACCAAGAGACUGCGUCCCAUGUGUUUAAUUAGUGAUUACCUACUAUGACUGCAGUGUUGCAGGAGAGAAAUUUAGAGAUUCUCAGAGAAUACAAAGAGCACUUUUGCUAUUUUGGGUAAGUCAUUAGGUUUUCAUCAUUGAACUGGCAUUGAAAGAGUUCUCAGA